rnacentral:lncRNA from 1 species
CGUUUUGGCACCCCCGGCUACACGCCGAUCGUGCUCAUCGACGGCCCGGUGACGCCUCAGGAGAAGGCUGCCUACUACGCGGCCGCCGAGUGCUGCGUCGUGAGCGCCGUGCGCGACGGGCUCAACCGGAUUCCCUACAUCUACACGGUGUGCCGGCAGGAGAGCACCGCGCUCGGAGACGACGCGCCCAAGCGGAGCGUCAUCGUGCUCUCCGAGUUCGUCGGUUGCUCCCCGUCCCUGAGCGGCGCGAUCCGCGUCAACCCCUGGAGCGUGGAGUCCGUCGCGGAGGCCAUGAACGCCGCGCUGCGGAUGUCCGAGGCCGAGCAGCGGCUGCGGCACGAGAAGCACUACAAGUACGUGAGCACCCACGACGUCGCCUACUGGGCGCGGUCCUUCGACUCGGACCUGCAGCGCGCCUGCAAGGACCAUUUCUCGCGCCGGCAUUGGGGGAUCGGGUUCGGCAUGAGCUUCAAGGUGGUGGCCCUUGGCCCCAAUUUCCGGCGGCUCUCCGUGGAGCACAUUGUCCCGUCAUAUCGUAGGACGGAGAACCGGC